rnacentral:lncRNA from 1 species
GCAGGUCUCGCCACCGGGAUGCUCCGCGCCGGGUUGUGCCGUGCCGGGCUGCGGGGUGAGCCGGAGGAUGGAGCAGGUGCCGCGGCUCCGAGCUGGACAGGCGGUGGCCACUCCAGGGUAUCAGUGGGACAUGGGAAUCCCUCCAGCCCCCGAAACACCCCAGCCUGCUGCCACAGGGCCCCUGUGUCCAUGUGGAUGGGCAGGGGCACCAAGGGCAGGGCAGAUAUUUCCCAUUCCUCCCAGUCCUGCAUUAUGCACCAGGCACCUGCAUCCCUGUUCUGAACAAAACACGUUCCCCUCUCCUGGAUGCAUAUUCACUCCAUUCUGUGCUCUUCACAGCGAGAACAAAAAGGAAGAUACGUUGGGUUUGCAUGUCUACAUGAGCCAUCUGCUUCUAUUUUAUUGAUGAAACCUGUAACAGCAGCAUUCUCCAUGACAAAAUAAGACUGUGGCUAAGGUGUGGACAGCUGUGUGUGUGCAGGGGUAGUUUCAGCCCAGAAUUCUGCAGAAGCUGGGUUUAAUGUUGAUUUUUUUUUCCAGUCAGAUAUCAUCUAGACAUUAGUAUUCCUAACACAGCAUAUAAUUAGCAAGAGGCAAUAUAUUGUAUGAUCAUGCACAUUAGCACUUAAGUAGAAUAAAAAAUGUUUCAUUGUCA